rnacentral:lncRNA from 1 species
CUUGUUUGUUGUGUGUUACCCUGUCUUAAGAAAUGCCUACAAAAGACAGUUGAUCAGACAAUCGACCAGACCACCCCGACCUUCCUUCACCAAGAGAUUGACGAUAUCGACCGUGAUACACCACAUACACCCUUACAGUCCCACCGCACUAAAUCAACAGCUACUUCCUCUUAAGGACAUUUAGGGAUAGCGUCUGUCUCUACAGGCAGAAGUCUGCCGCGGGAGAAGUAGUGGACAAGCUGCUAUGGGGUACCCACGCAGUGAAGUGUUCGAGGCCUGUUCAGACAGAUGUGCAAGAUAGCCUUUUGUUAUUUUUCUAUAGGGACAGUAUUAGAAUGAGAGAUAGUAGUUUUAGUAAAAAUUGCCAUUUUAAGGGGGGACUGUUAUGGAC